rnacentral:sRNA from 1 species
GCUGGGCGCAGUAGCACACGCCUGUCAUCCUAGGGACUUGGGAGGCUGAGGCAGGAGGAUCGCAAGGUGGAGGCCAGCCUCAGCCACUUAGCAAGGCCCUGAUCAACUUGCGAUUCCCUGUCUGUA